AUGGGAGCGGGCAUGAAGCGCGCGAGGGAGGAGGCGCAAUUUGUGUCCCUCGCGCUGUCGCUCAGCACAGAUUCCUCGGCAACGUCCACCACGACGUCGGACAGCUCGACCGGUGCGCCGGCGAUGGUCCCCAGGAAGAGGGCGCGGCGGGGGAGAGCUGUGGCCACGUCCGGGGCGGGAGAGUUCGUGUGCAAGACUUGCGGCCGGGCGUUCGAGACAUUCCAGGCGCUGGGCGGGCACCGGACCAGUCACCGGCGCGGCCGCCAUGGGCUAGAGCUCGGCGUCGGCGUCGCCAGGGUCAUCAAGGAGCGGAAAAGGCAAGAGGAUAGGCAGCGGCACGACUGUCACAUCUGCGGGCUUGGCUUCGAGACGGGCCAGGCGCUGGGCGGCCACAUGCGGCGGCACCGCGAGGAGAUGGCACUCAGCGGCUCCGUCGACCGGUGGGUCGCUCUGUCGGAUCAGGAGGCGGGGCACCAGGCCGCCGUCGACAGGCCGCCCGUCUUGCUGCAGCUGUUCGUCUAG
rnacentral:rRNA from 1 species